AUUGAACGCUGGCGGCAGGCCUAACACAUGCAAGUCGAACGAGUGGCGGACGGGUGAGUAAUGUCUGGGACACUGCCUGAUGGAGGGGGAUAACUACUGGAAACGGUAGCUAAUACCGCAUACCAUCGGAUGUGCCCAGAUGGGAUGAGCUAGUAGGUGGGGUAACGGCUCACCUAGGCGACGAGCCCUAGCUGGUCUGCGAGGAUGACCGGCAACACUGGAACUGAGACACGUUCCAAACUCCGACGAGGGGCAGGAGUGGGGAAUAUUGCACAAGGGGGGGAAGCCUGAUGCAGCCAUGCCGCGUGUAUGAAGAAGGCCUGCGGGUUGUAAAGUACUUACAGCGGGGAGGCGUUACCCGCAGAAGAAGCACCGGCUAACUCCGUGCCAGCAGCCGCGGUAAUU
rnacentral:rRNA from 1 species